rnacentral:rRNA from 1 species
GACGUAGGGCGCGAGCGUUGUCCGGAUUUAUUGGGCGUAAAGAGCUCGUAGGCGGCUUGUCGCGUCGAAUGUGAAAACCUGCAGCUCAACUGCAGGCUUGCAUUCGAUACGGGCAGGCUCGAGUUCGGUAGGGGAGACUGGAAUUCCUGGUGUAGCGGUGAAAUGCGCAGAUAUCAGGAAGAACACCCGUGGCGAAGGCGGCUCUCUGGGACGGUACUGACGCUGAGACGCGAAAGCGUGGGGAGCGAACAGG